rnacentral:tRNA from 1 species
UACAAAUCAUUGACCGACACCCGCUAAUUCAUUAUUGAUAUAUUGUUAUAACUUUUUGUGAGUUACGAUAUCGGCAU